GGCCUUGUACUGUAGCUCAGGAGGUAGAGCAUCGUUCUAGAAAUGCGAAGGUCGCGGGUUCGAAUCCCAGCCGCGGUCA
rnacentral:tRNA from 1 species